rnacentral:misc_RNA from 1 species
CAUCCUCAACCUGCUUCGUUCUAUCGAACCAAGUAGGCUUGGAAUUUGGAGGUUUUUCUGCUGGCUUCCUCUGUGAAGCCAGCUCCUCUUAAAUCUAUCAGUGGGAUCCGCUUUGCUAGAUCCUCGACGUUGAUAAGAUGUUUCUACGUCUUGGGUUUCGCUCGGGAAAGGACCUGCUUCUAACCGUCCCCCCCAUCGGGGACAAUGUUCGAGAGCCGAUCGCCCUUCACGGGGUGGGAAGCUUUUCGACCCAUGAAACCUUGACC